UACGGGAGGCAGCAGUGGGGAAUAUUGCACAAUGGGCGAAAGCCUGAUGCAGCUAUGCCGCGUGUAUGAAGAAGGCCUUAGGGUUGUAAAGUACUUUCAUCGGGGAGGAAAAAACAAAACUAAUAAUUUUAUUUCUUGACGUUACCCGAAAAAGAAGCACCGGCUAACUCCGUGCCAGCAGCCGCGGUAAUACGGAGGGUGCUAGCGUUAAUCAGAAUUACUGGGCGUAAAGAGCACGUAGGUGGUUUUUUUAAGUCAGAUGUGAAAUCCCUGGGCUUAACCUAGGAACUGCAUUUUGAAACUGAAAUACUAGAGUAUCGUAGAGGGAGGUAGAAUUCUAGGUGUAGCGGUGAAAUGCGUAGAUAUCUGGAGGAAUACCUGUGGCGAAAGCGGCCUCCUAAACGAAUACUGACACUGAGGUGCGAAAGCGUGGGGAGCGAAACAGGGAUUAGGAUACC
rnacentral:rRNA from 1 species